AAGUAUUCCGGAAUGGGAUGAGUCUGCGGCCUAUCAGCUUGUUGGUGAGGUAAUGGCUCACCAAGGCGAUGACGGGUAGGGGAUGUGAGAGCAUGUUCCCCAACAAUGGCA
rnacentral:rRNA from 1 species